rnacentral:rRNA from 1 species
AGGGCACCACCAGGAGUGGAGCCUGCGGCUUAAUUUGACUCAACACGGGGAAACUCACCCGGCCCGGACACCGUAAGGAUUGACAGAUUGAGAGCUCUUUCUUGAUUCGGUGGUUGGUGGUGCAUGGCCGUUCUUAGUUGGUGGAGCGAUUUGUCUGGUUUAUUCCGAUAACGAACGAGACUCUGGCCUACUAAAUAGUGACAGGAUUAUUACUGUCUUGGAUACUUCUUAGAGGGACAAGUGGUUUUCAGCCACACGAAAUUGAGCAAUAACAGGUCUGUGAUGCCCUUAGAUGUCCGGGGCUGCACGCGCGCUACACUGAAGGAAUCAGCGUGCUAAAACCAUUGUCGAAAGGCAUUGGUAAACCCAUUAAAAUCCUACGUGAUUGGGAUCGGGAAUUGCAAUUAUUUCCCUUGAACGAGGAAUUCCCAGUAAGUGUGGGUCAUAAGCUCGCGUUGAUUACGUCCCUGCCCUUUGUACACACCGCCCGUCGCUGCCCGGGACUGAGCCGUUUCGAGA